rnacentral:rRNA from 1 species
CUACGGGUUGCUGCAGUGGGGAAUAUUGCACAAUGGGCGCAAGCCUGAUGCAGCAACGCCGCGUGAGGGAUGAAGGCCUUCGGGUUGUAAACCUCUUUUAGCAGGGAAGAAGCGAAAGUGACGGUACCUGCAGAAAAAGCACCGGCUAACUACGUGCCAGCAGCUGCGGUAAUACGUAGGGUGCAAGCGUUGUCCGGAAUUAUUGGGCGUAAAGAGCUCGUAGGCGGUUUGUCACGUCUGCUGUGAAAAUCCAAGGCUCAACCUUGGACUUGCAGUGGGUACGGGCAGGCUAGAGUGCGGUAGGGGAGAUGGGAAUUCCUGGUGUAGCGGUGGAAUGCGCAGAUAUCAGGAGGAACACCAAUGGCGAAGGCACAUCUCUGGGCCGUAACUGACGCUGAGGAGCGAAAGCGUGGGGAGCGAACAGGAUUAGAUACCCUGGUAGUC